CAGAUGUUUGGAGGCCAUGAUUAAGU
rnacentral:piRNA from 1 species